rnacentral:lncRNA from 12 species
AAGAGCCAGUGCUAUCAGCAGCAGUGAGAGAAACACGGCUUUGGGGUGCAGAUUAUUGUUCCUCAUAUUCCUUUGUUUGCCAUUGCUGGGCUGGAAGUACACGGCAGCAAACGCUUCUUGUGACCACGCAACCGCUCAGUACGAAAUUGGGAAACGACGCCCCUCACCCCAAAGCUUCUGCACGGAAGAGGAGGCAGUUUGCCUCUGCUGAUAGCACACCGUGGUGUCUGAUGGCAGCUCCAUAAGGAAAGGAUUUUCCCACCCUUCU